UACGUAGGGGGCAAGCGUUAUCCGGAUUUACUGGGUGUAAAGGGAGCGUAGACGGUAUGGCAAGUCUGAAGUGAAAGCCCAAGGCUUAACCCUGGGACUGCUUUGGAAACUGUUAGACUAGAGUGCUGGAGAGGUAAGUGGAAUUCCUAGUGUAGCGGUGAAAUGCGUAGAUAUUAGGAGGAACACCAGUGGCGAAGGCGGCUUACUGGACAGUAACUGACGUUGAGGCUCGAAAGCGUGGGGAGCAAACAGG
rnacentral:rRNA from 1 species